rnacentral:lncRNA from 1 species
AAACACCAGCAGAGGUAGCUGGAGAUGAAUGAAUUUGUGCAACCACUUGGAAAUACCUAAAUUAUUUUUCAGCUUUAUUGAGAUAUAACUAACGUGUAACAUUGUGUAAGCUUAAAGUGUGCAAUGUAAUGAUUUGAUACAUACAUAUAAUACAAAAUUAUUAUCACAGUAAGGUUAACUAAAAUAUCCAUCACUCUACAUAAUUACCUUUCCUUUUCUUUUUGUGGAACAUUUAUGAUGUCUCUUAGUAACUUUCGAGUAUACAAUAUUGUUAACUGUUGUCACCAUGCUAUACUUUAGAUUAGCUAAAAAAUACUAAAGAUAACAAGUGCUGGUGAGGAUGUCAGGAAAAGGGAGCCCUUGUGGACUGUUGGUAGGAAUAUAAAUUGGUGCAACCACUUUGGAAAAUAGGGAGGUUCUUCUGAAAAUUAAAAAGAGAACCAGCAUAUGAUCCAGCAAUUCCACUUCUAGGUAUCUAUCCAAAGGAAACUAAAUCAUUAUAUCAAAGAGAUAUUUACAUUCUGAUGUUUAUUGCAGCGUUAUUUACAAUAACCAAGAUAUAAAAACAACCUAUGUGUCCACUGAUGGGCGAAUGGAUAAAGAAAACGUGUUCUCCCUUCUCUGUGUUCUAGUCUGUGGCAAGGAUGAAAGAGGAAUUAGAAGGCAAGGUGUUUCUUUUAACGGCAGAGCUAAGAAGUCACACAGGUUUCUUUUGCCCACAUCUCACUGUGAAGAACUUAGUCAUGUGGCCAUAACUCGCUGCAUAGGAGGUAGGAACAUGAGAUCUUAACCUGGGCAACAAGGUGCC